GAUUGAGUAACAUCAAUUGGAGGACCGAACCGACUAAUGUUGAAAAAUUAGCGGAUGACUUGUGGCUAGGGGUGAAAGGCCAAUCAAACCUGGAGAUAGCUGGUUCUCCCCGAAAGCUAUUUAGGUAGCGCCUCGGACGAAUACUACUGGGGGUAGAGCACUGUUAAGGCUAGGGGGUCAUCCCGACUUACCAACCCUUUGCAAACUCCGAAUACCAGUAAGUACUAUCCGGGAGACACACGGCGGGUGCUAACGUCCGUCGUGGAGAGGGAAACAACCCAGACCGCCAGCUAAGGUCCCAAAUUAUUACUAAGUGGGAAACGAUGUGGGAAGGCUCAGACAGCCAGGAUGUUGGCUUAGAAGCAGCCAUCAUUUAAAGAAAGCGUAAUAGCUCACUGGUCGAGUCGGCCUGCGCGGAAGAUGUAACGGGGCUAAGUAAUAAACCGAAGCUGCGGCAAUGAAGUUUACUUCAUUGGGUAGGGGAGCGUUCUGUAAGCCGUUGAAGGUGUGUUGUAAAGCAUGCUGGAGGUAUCAGAAGUGCGAAUGCUGACAUGAGUAACGAUAAAGGGGGUGAAAAACCUCCUCGCCGGAAGACCAAGGGUUCCUGUCCAACGUUAAUCGGGGCAGGGUAAGUCGACCCCUAAGGCGAGGCCGAAAGGCGUAGUCGAUGGGAAACGGGUUAAUAUUCCCGUACUUCUUACAAUUGCGAUGGGGGGACGGAGAAGGCUAGGUGGGCCUGGCGACGGUUGUCCAGGUUCAAGUGCGUAGGCUGAAGAGUUAGGUAAAUCCGGCUCUUUUUAAGGCUGAGACACGACGUCGAGCUACUACGGUAGUGAAGUCAUUGAUGCCAUGCUUCCAGGAAAAGCCUCUAAGCUUCAGAUUGUAAGGAAUCGUACCCCAAACCGACACAGGUGGUCGGGUAGAGAAUACCAAGGCGCUUGAGAGAACUCGGGUGAAGGAACUAGGCAAAAUGGUACCGUAACUUCGGGAGAAGGUACGCUCUUGAUGGUGAAGUCCCUUGCGGAUGGAGCUGACGAGAGUCGCAGAUACCAGGUGGCUGCAACUGUUUAUUAAAAACACAGCACUGUGCAAAAUCGUAAGAUGACGUAUACGGUGUGACGCCUGCCCGGUGCCGGAAGGUUAAUUGAUGGGGUUAGACUUCGGUCGAAGCUCUUGAUCGAAGCCCCGGUAAACGGCGGCCGUAACUAUAACGGUCCUAAGGUAGCGAAAUUCCUUGUCGGGUAAGUUCCGACCUGCACGAAUGGCGUAAUGAUGGCCACGCUGUCUCCACCCGAGACUCAGUGAAAUUGAAAUCGCUGUGAAGAUGCAGUGUACCCGCGGCUAGACGGAAAGACCCCGUGAACCUUUACUACAGCUUGGCACUGAACAUUGACCCUACAUGUGUAGGAUAGGUGGGAGGCUUUGAAGCACAGUCGCUAGAUUGUGUGGAGCCGUCCUUGAAAUACCACCCUUGUAGUGUUGAUGUUCUAACGUCGACCCCUAAUCGGGGUUGCGGACAGUGCCUGGUGGGUAGUUUGACUGGGGCGGUCUCCUCCCAAAGAGUAACGGAGGAGCACGAAGGUGGGCUAAUCACGGUUGGACAUCGUGAGGUUAGUGCAAUGGCAUAAGCCCGCUUGACUGCGAGAAUGACAAUUCGAGCAGGUGCGAAAGCAGGUCAUAGUGAUCCGGUGGUUCUGUAUGGAAGGGCCAUCGCUCAACGGAUAAAAG
rnacentral:rRNA from 1 species